CCACCUUUCCGCUGCGCGAGCGGGGAGCGUUAACGUUCCGCCCUGCCCGCCUCCUCCCCACCGGCCCGCCCCAGCCUUCGGUACCCUCCUGCGUCUGGGCAAGGGGCCUUCCCCCUUCAGAAAGCCCUAGGCGGGGAUCUGGGCACCGAGGGCCCGGCCUGGACUCGGGGAAGCUGCCUGGGCCCUCCCCGGGAGCGGCCGGUCUCUCUCUCGCUCUCUCCUCAGGGAGAAGCCCCUCUCUUGCCCCACACAGGCCAGAGGAAGCCUUUCCGCGUCCCGAGAGACAAAGGCAGGUGAAACCGACCGGAGGCGCGCGCCCCCGCCCGCCCCCGUCCUGCUUCGCUCUCCCCAGGGAUGUGGAGGAAAUGCAAAUCGCGGGCUUACCAAGCCCAGCCCUGCUUAAGCGACUGACGCCGUGCGCCUUUCUUGGCCGCGGGAGCUCCCGCCGCAGCGGCCGCCUGGGCCAUGGCUGAAGCGCGACUGAGGGCUAAAUCUGCAGAGAGGAAGUCAGAGCGCUGAACCCACCGGACAAUAUCCUACAAACUAGGAAAGGAGGAAGGAUGGUCUUUCGGGAAAGGGGUCUUCCCUGCCCGCGAGGCAGAUGUGGCACACAUGGGGCUCGUACAGCUGCCCUGCACCACUCGCUCCCCUGUCAGCAGGCGCUGUGCCAGGAACAGGGAUGGUGCUGAGGCUUUUCUCCUGCCCUGGGAUCCCCACCCUGAGCACAGGUGUGGACCCAGCCCUGGGGCUGCAGGAUCCCUCUGACAGGCACAUCCCCCCAGCUGCAGUUUCCUCCACCGUGUGGUAUAACCCACUGCAGGAGAAGUCUUAUGGUUCAGAAUAAAAUAGAAGAAAUCUC